rnacentral:tRNA from 2 species
GGAGAGGUGGAUGAGUGGUUUAAGUCGCACGCCUGGAAAGCGUGUUUAGGGUAAUACCCUAACGGGGGUUCGAAUCCCCCUCUCUCCGCCA